AACCGACGUUUUUAUGUUUGAGGAAGAAGGAUAUGCAGCAGCGAGCAGUACGAGCCCAGGCUCGGUUUAUCCCAGGGAUGUCAUCGAAUAAUGGAUGAUGAUCGGGCCAGCUAUCGGAGGAGUUACUUAACUGAUCUAACAUAGCGAAAGCAAAUGACAGCAACGCCUGUGGCCGAGCGGAAAAUCACGGGCGUUACCUCAGUGGGGAGCCGCUCCGACAGGUAGUGGAACGGUAGUGAGGUAAAUUAUUAACGUAGUAUGACAACGCGGCGGUUGAGUGCAUUCGUAUACUAUAAACUACGUGUGAGUAUCUAAAUGCUGUAAGAAAUGAUUAUUCGACAAUAGAAUAAAUGGUAAUAAAAAUGUAA